rnacentral:rRNA from 1 species
UACGUAGGGGGCAAGCGUUGUCCGGAUUUAUUGGGCGUAAAGGGCUCGUAGGCGGCCAACUAAGUCAGACGUGAAAUCCCUCGGCUUAACCGGGGAACUGCGUCUGAUACUGGAUGGCUUGAGGUUGGGAGAGGGAUGCGGAAUUCCAGGUGUAGCGGUGAAAUGCGUAGAUAUCUGGAGGAACACCGGUGGCGAAGGCGGCAUCCUGGACCAAUUCUGACGCUGAGGAGCGAAAGCCAGGGGAGCAAACGGGG